GACAGAGGGUGCAAGCGUUGUUCGGAAUUACUGGGCGUAAAGCGUGCGUAGGCGGUGAAGUGUGUCUGAUGUGAAAUCCCUCGGCUCAACCGGGGAACGGCAUUGGAAACUACUUCGCUGGAGUUCAGGAGAGGAUGGCGGAAUUCCUGGUGUAGAGGUGAAAUUCGUAGAUACCAGGAGGAACACCGGAGGCGAAGGCGGCCAUCUGGCCUGAUACUGACGCUCAGGCACGAAAGCGUGGGGAGCAAACAGG
rnacentral:rRNA from 1 species